rnacentral:lncRNA from 1 species
ACAGGUAAUAGGAUAAUAAUAUAUAGAGAAAGUAUGUGUGUGUGUGAGAGAGAGAGAGUGUGAGUAAACUCUUAUUAAAGGAGUACUUACAAAAAUAUAUAAUAUUAUCUAUUAACUCUAAUGAAUCCACAAUGUUUCUUGCUACGUGGCAAGAAACCCUUCAUUCUUAGGUUAAUAGAUAUAGAUAAUCAUAAAAUAAAACCCACCCACUUUGAGCCAAACCAAUUCUCUAAAAUAAUAAACCACUUUGAACCGAACCAAUUCUCUAAAUUAGCACUUGAACCGAACUGAACCAAUGAUCUGCCUAUCUAAUUUUAUUUUGUGUAUGAAAACCGAACCGAAGAACCAUUGAACUGCAUCUCUCUAAACCUCUGAACCGAACCGAACCGAACCAAUUCAUCGUCAUAAAUCCUCCUAAUAUUUCUUACAGUUUCGGAACCAAACCGAACAGAACCGAACCCUUUUUAAAAUCAAAUCGAUUCUCUAUAUAAAUUGGUUCUGAACCGAACCAUAGAACUCCCUCUCUCUGAACUUUUGAACUGAACCGAACCGAAUCGAACCCUAUCUAAACCUGUAAAUAAAACCGAACUAAAUUACUCUCUGUAUGCAAAGCGUUUACUGUCCGCUCCCUCUCCGCGUGCGCCCUUGCUGAAACGCUCCCCCUCCGUGCGCGCCCUUGCUGAAACGCUCCCCCUCCGCGCGCCCUUGCUGAAACGCUCCCCAUCCGCGCAUUCUUGCUUCUUCGCUCUCCCUCUUGAUUUCGUGUGGUAAGCCGUUUCCUCUCCUCCACCGCAGUAUCCAUACCCAAUUUCUGUUUCAGACAAGAUCGUGUCUCAUCAUUCAUCAAACUACCACCGUUUCAAAUGAGAUCGUGUAUUAUCAUUUCUUUAAUUAAAUCUACUGGCUGCCGCUUCCUCUACCCUCAUUGCUGCUACAUUUUUGCCUAUAUAUUUCAUCCAUCCCUUAGAUCAAAACCAUCAUGUGAUCGGUAAGAAAUUUAGGUAUUCUCUUAUAGAUUCAUCUUAAAUUAAAUAUAAGAAAUUUAGGUAUUCUUUCUUUUUUAUAUAAGAAUCUAUUAACUCUAAUGAAUCCACAAUGUUUCUUGCCACGUGGCAAGAAACCUUUCAUUCUUAAGUUAAUAGAUAUAGAUAAUCAUAAAAUAAAACCCACCCACUUUGAGCCAAACCAAUUCUCUCAAAUAAUAAACCACUUUGAACCGAACCAAUUCUCUAAAUUAGCACUUGAACCGAACUGAACCAAUGAUCUGCCUAUCUAAUUUUAUUUUGUGUAUGAAAACCGAACCGAAGAACCAUUGAACUGCAUCUCUCUAAACCUCUGAACCGAACCGAACCGAACCAAUUCAUCGUCAUAAAUCCUCCUAAUAUUUCUUACAGUUUCGGAACCAAACCGAACAGAACCGAACCCUUUUUAAAAUCAAAUCGAUUCUCUAUAUAAAUUGGUUCUGAACCGAACCAUAGAACUCCCUCUCUCUGAACUUUUGAACCGAAUCGAACCAUAGAAGUCCCUCUCUCUGAACUUUUGAACCGAACCGAACCGAAUCGAACCCUAUCUAAACCUGUAAAUAAAACCGAACCAAAUUACUCUAUGUAUGCAAAGCGUUUACUGUCCGCUCCCCCUCCGCGCGCGCCCUUGCUGAAACGCUCCCCCUCCGCGCGCGCCCUUGCUGAAACGCUCCCCCUCCGCGCGCCCUUGCUGAAACGCUCCCCAUCCGCGCAUUCUUGCUUCUUCGCUCUCCCUCUUGAUUUCGUGUGGUAAGCCGUUUCCUCUCCUCCACCGCAGCAUCCAUACCCUAUUUCUGUUUUAGACAAGAUCGUGUCUCAUCAUUCAUCAAACUACCACCGUUUCAAAUGAGAUCGUGUAUCAUCAUUUCUUUAAUUAAAUCUACUGGCUGCCGCUUCCUCUACCCUCAUUGCUGCUACAUUUUUGCCUAUAUAUUUCAUCCAUCCCUCAGAUCAAAAUCAUCAU